GCCGGGUGCGGUGGCUCACACCUGUAAUCCCAGCACUCUGGGAGGCCGAGAUGGGAGGAUCACUUGAGCCCAGGAGCUCGAGAUCAGCCUGGGCAACAUAGUGAGACCUCUUCUCUA
rnacentral:SRP_RNA from 1 species